rnacentral:lncRNA from 1 species
AUGUAGAGAUACCUUUUUCAAAAUUAAAUUAACAAUCUGUUUGAAAUACUUUCACGGCAACUGAGUGGUGCAGCAGGUUUCAAUUUGGCAGAGGAGUCUAGCUUCGAAAUGGUUGCGUGCUUCAUUCAACACGAGAAAGAAAGUAAAAUUUUUUGUUGAACAUGAGAGAGAAAUCAAUGUAUUUAAAAUGAACUAGAGUCCAACUAGGACUUUGUAUUCCAGUUUUAUAUUGAAAUCCCUUUAUACAAUCGUAUGCCAAAAGUUUGUUCGAUAAUGAUAUAUGUCAAAAAAAAUUCAUUUUCUUUACAGUAGGAAAAAAGAUAAUAAGAUCAAGCUUUUGAAUCCAGUGGUAUAAAUAAAGAAGAUUGAAUUUAGUGGGUUUUAAAACAUAGGAGACUAAGAUUUCACUUUCUGCCAGUCUGGAAAAUGAGAGAGAUUACCAAUUUUGAGAAAAAAGUUUCAAAAUCUACUAGAUCACAGAGAUCAGAACAAAUUUGGUUUGCACAUAUAAUUAAUGUAUAUUCGGAUAUAUGUUAAACGUUUAAUACAACGGAUAGAAAGAUAAAUAGGAAUACCUUUAUCCAAAUCAGACUAACAAUCGUUUGAAAAUGCUCGAUCAACAAUCUGUGUUGCAGCAGAGGAGUAGGUUCUCUGAUUUAUUCAACGCGCGUGUGUGUGUGUGAGUGAGUGAGAGAGAGAGAGGGGGUUGGGGGGGGAGAGAGAGAGGGAGAGAUACAGUGAAAAUUGAUUCAUGCAAUUGAUGCCGCUAACAUGAACUCUGCUACUCAAACGGAAAUAUUGACACCUCAGCCCCCUUGAUUUGUCAAUAGCCCUGUUCAACCAGCAUUAUUGCAAAAAAAAAAGGUUGAACCCCAACCUUAAGAACCUCCACGACCAUGCCCUGGGUCAUCGUGGAGGAGGUAAAUCGUAGGAUGUACCUCCCAGGAGUCAAAGUGGAGAGCAUAUGGAUAGGCCAAGGCUGUUAACCCAUAUGGUAACUCCCGCUUGCAACAAAACUAAUUCCACAUUGCGGGGAUUCGAACUCUGCACACUGCCGCGCUGAGUCCUAUCCUUGGCCACUGGGAGAUAUGCCCUGGGGGCACCAGCAUUAGUGCUCUAACAUACAUAUGUGUAAUUGAAGAGGAAAGUACCUCAGUGUGGAUUUGAUUCCUGAAAUUGUACUUAUUGUAGGCGCAGUAUACAAGUAGCUCUUGUUCUCUGGCCUAUUGGAGCACAUCCCUGACAGAUCCGUUUAAUUAAUAAGAAAAUGUCGCGUAGCGAAUGGAAUCAUCUCCAUGAUUAUAUGGCUCAACAUCAUUGAAAAAAUGUACCGAUUAAAUAAUCAAAGUGUUUUUGGUAGUUAGAAGAGUUUUCAGAGAAAGUUGAUCUAAUAUGACCUGCUCUAAAAACAUUUCUGAAAUAAGAAAUGCGUUUAAAAAUUAAUUUUCACACAAAAAAUAAGGUAAUUUCUUUCAAUAACUCUUCUACAUUAAGUAAAAAUAGAAGCAAAAGUGAUUCCAAAUGUAUUUGAAGUCUGUUUAUUAAUUUUAUGUCUCCUUCAAAAUUGGAAAAACGUGAAAAUAAGGUAGCUAAGGUUGUGUUUGGUUUGUGCUUCUAUUUUCUGUUUUCAGUUUUGAAUUCAUUUUCUAUUUUUCAUUUUGAGAGAUUAUUUUAAAGUUACAGAAAAAGUAUUUGGUUUGUCAUUCUGAAAAAUUUUCUCAAAAUAAAGAAAUUAGAAGACGCGUUUGAUUUAAGAAUUUAAAAAAUAGUUUUAUGACAUUUUGGAGGAGUAUGGGAAGAGAGGGAGAGGGAGAGGAAGAGGGGUAUUUGUAUUUGGGGUAAAUUUUGUGAGAUUUUAUUAAUUAUUUUAAUUUAAAAAAUUUUUAAACUUAUUUUCCUUGUUUUGAGUUUUUUGAGUGUUUUAUGAAAACACUCAAAACGUAAAAAAGUCGUUUUGAAUUUUGUGUUAUAAAAUUUUCCUUCUUUUCAAAAAUCAUAUUUUUGAAAAUAAUAUAUUAAGCACGUUUUGAAUGUUUUUGAAAACUAAAAAUUAAAAAUAGCCUCAAAAUGACAAAUCAAAAGUAGUUUAAGGCACCGUUUGAUAGGCACCAAUUUUCUAGAGAAAAUGGAAUUAGGAUGCCAAUUUUCAACUUUUGUGUAUUUGAUAGUGUUAUAUUUUCCAUGAAAAUCAAGUUCUUGGAUUUUUUGGGAGUUGUGGCUUUCUAGCUUUUGUGGUAUAUGGUGAGAAUUGAUUUUUCAAGUAGUUGACCUUUUUUUUAUUUAUUUUAUUUUUGGUAAUGAAAACAAAUUUUAAAAAUUAUUGUAAAAAAAUAUUUUCCUUUAAUUGACAAUUUUCAUGUAAAACAAAGCUAAACGAACAAAAAAAAUAUGUGAUUUUCUUGAAUUUUUUGUUUUGUUUUGGCAAUGAAAAUAAAUUUCAUCCCCAAUACUAGUAAAUUUCAUCUCCUUAAUUGAUAAUUUUCAUAUAAAAUAAAGCCAAACGAACAGAAAAACACUUUUAUUUCAAUAUUUUUCACGUGAAAAAUUAUACCAAUCAAACACAAUAAUUUACAAUUCUAAAAAAAUAAUUUCUAGACAAUUCAAUUCCCUAAAAUUCGUUUUCUUUCCAUUCAAAUUUUAUUUUUGCAAUCAAAUGAACCUUUAUAUUUUUAAAAAGCAAUUUGAUUGAUGAGUGGAAUUACAAUACACACGAAUUUAAUAAUCAAUGCUCUUUCCAACUAGGGUUGGGCAAAACCCAACUCAAUCCGAUCAAUUUAGGUUGAUUUUUUAAGUUCAAUUGGAUUGGGUUGGGUUGAAAAAUAUUUUUGAGGUUGGGUUUCGGGUUAUGAUUUAAAACCUAACCCGAUGAAUUAAAAAAAUAAUAUCUAAGAUGAAAAAAAGUAAAUAAAAACAAUAGUAAAGAUAUGAAAAUUACUUAUAUUUUAUAAAUGUCCAUUUUUUUUUAUAUAGAUUGAUUCCUAUAAACAUAAUUUACAAAUGAAAUUUUAUUUCAUAAUAAAAUAAAAAUUAAGAAGAUGAUGAUGAAAUGAAUAAAUCUCAAAAAAUUGUAAAAAAAAAAAAAAAAAAAUACUUCAUAAAUUUUAAAUUUAUUUAUACAUCAUUUUUCAAAAAAAAAAAACCUUACAUACGUAUUUUAAAAAAAAAAAUCAGAGAUUUUCAAACUUUAAAAAUUUAUCUAAAUUUAACAAAAAUAUAAUCGAAUCCAACUUUAAUUGGAUUUAAACUAUUAAUUGGGUUGGGAAAAAAUCGACCCGACCCGACCGAUGCCUACCCCUAUAAAUUCCAACCACUUCAAUUAUGCAUGAGGAAUUAGUGGCUGUUGGCCGGUUGACCCGGUCAAUUUUUCAAACUGGCCUUUGACCAAUGAAAAAAAAAGGCAAAAUUAUAAAAAACCAUGAAAACAAAAAAAAAUGAAGAGAAUUCCAAUUUUACCCUCACUUGAAAACGAAGCAGAAGCCGAAGGAGACGGGAAAAUACUGUAGCACAGUCGACCCAGUUACUGACAAAUAAGGAAAAACAAGAGACCCAUUUGGCCAAAAUCCCUCUGAAGAAGGUAAGAAAUGUAUACAAAAAAAAACCAUGUUUAUAUUUUUAUUUUUGGAAAAAAGUAUGAUUUUAUACAUAUUUCUUGAGAAAUGCUUGUGUAAAUGUGGAAUUUUGGGUUGUUAUUACUUGGGAAGGAGUGGAGAUCGUCGGAAAUGGAGUUUUCCGGCGAUCUCCUCGAUCGAAAAUGUGGCAGACGGACAGAAAUGACGAUUGGGCACGCUGUCUGGGCGCACCCAGCCGCCCCAGACGCCCAGACGGCCCAGUUAACUGGGGCGUCUGGGAGCCCCUUCCCAGUCAACUGGGCAACCCAGUUGACUGGCCCACUUGGGCACAGUAGUACCCAGGUGGCCCAGUCAACUGGGUUGCCCAGUUGACUGGGCGCAUGUGCCCAACUGGGCACCUGGGCGCCCAGUCAACUGGGAAGCUGGGCCGGUCGGCCCAGUUGACCCAGUUGACUGGGCCGUCUUUUUUUUUCUUUUUUUUUUCCGGUAAUUAUUGAAGUUAAUUAAAUAAUUAUUAAUGGCUUAUAUUGUGUAAUUAUUUAUUUGAAUUGCUUAAUUUGAAUGUUUAUUAUGUAUUUAAAAUUAUUAGUAAAUAUAAGAUGUAAAUGUUAUAUUAUUUAUCGAAUUAUUUAUUAGUUGCUAAUNUAAUAAUAAUAAUAAUGAAACGUGAGUAGAUUUGGUGGUUUUUAAAACACAGGUUAAUCCUAAUAAGCUUCCAAUUUAUUUUUGACAGUAAACAAAAAAUUUCAAAAACUAAAACUAUAAUAAACCGAAGGUUUAUUCGAAGGAUGAAAGGUAAGUAGAGAUACCUUUUUCCAAAUUAAACUAACAAUCUGUUUGAAAUACUUUCACGGCAACUGAGUGGUGCAGCAGGUUUUGAUUUUCCUUGGCAGAGGAGUCUAGCUUCGAAAUGGUUGUGUAAUUCAUUCAACAUGAGAGAGAAAGUAAUAUUUUUUAUUGAACAUUAUUUAAAAUGAACUAGAGAGAUAAAAUGGCCAAUCUUUGUUUAUCUGGAUUUAUAGACGCUGUUACUCCAACAAGCAAUUUGUAUUCCAAUUUUAUAUUAAGCCCCGUUUGGCCUCCUCCAUAUUGUGGAAAUAAAAAUGGGUGGAAGAGUGUUUUUUUUAUUUGAAAAAUUGGUAUUUGAAAAAAAAAAUAUUUUCGAUUUACGUGUAAUAUUAUUUUUAUGAAAAAUUGAGUGAUUGAAAAAAAGAAAAAAAAAAAAAAGAAAAAUGGAAUGUAAUGAAAUAAAAAUUAAUGAAGGUCAUACGGGGCUUAAAUCCCUUUAUACAAUAGUAUGCCAGAAGUUAUUCAGUAACAUUAUUUGGUGCAUAAUAGCAGAUAGCCAUAAAUGAGCAAGACUUGAGUUUUUUCAUUUUUUUUUUUUUUUUUGCUGGAUAAUAAUAUAUGUCAAAAAAAAAAAAAUCAUUUUCUUUACAGUAGGAAAAAUGAUAAUUGAAUCAAGCUUUUGAAUCCAGUGUUAUAAAUAAAGAAGAUUGAACUUAUAGUUGGUUUUAAAACAUAGGAGACUAAGAUUUCACUUUCUACCAAUCUGGAAAGUGAGAAAGUACCAAUUUUGAGAAAAUUGUUUCAAAAUCUACAUCACAGAGAUGAAAAAAUUUUAUGACAAAUUUUAUUUGCACAUAUACUUAAGGUAUAUUCAGAGGCACGUUAAACGUUUAAUGCAAUAGAUAGAAAGAUAAGUAGGAAUACUAACCUUUAUCCAAAUCAGACUAACAACAAUCUGUGGUGCAGCAGAGGAGUCGGUUCUCUGAUUUAUUCAACAUGUGUUUGUGAGAGAGAGAGAGAGAGAGAGAGAGAGAGAGAUUUAGUGAACGUAAGAUACUGAAAUAUCACGUUCUUCCCAGCUGGCAAGUCUAACAACAAUAAUAAAUAUUAAAUAUUCCUCACGAAUUGUAUCGACAGACGUUUCGUUGGAAAAAUGAUUCCAUGAGAUUUGACGAUGGCUAUAUGUGCGAAGUGGUUUAGUACAAAAAAG